GCUAUAAGACGUGAGGCUUGUACUAACAAACACCAGUGUGUUUUUCAUCUGGGUCAAGAGGACGCAGGCUUCCCACCUCCAAGUGGAGGUUGAAAUUGAUCCCAUGCAGGGCCCUGUGGGGCUCCUGGGCACAAGACCUUUCUGUGUCCCCCAUUUCUUUGAUUAUAGGAAACAGCCUUUAUUCAGCCCGCAUGACCUUUCCUGGGUUCCAAUGGGCAGAUUCAAGCCACUGUUAAUUAGGGAAGGAAGGGGAUGUGAGACCAGGGAGAAAGAGUCAAGAGCAGCUUUGAGGCAGGGUCCUGUUUCCCCAUCAAAGGAUACACACAACAGUAUCUCUGAGCUGCUCUACAGAUACUGAAACCCCCUCCAGGUGGGAGAAGUUAGUGAUUAAUGAUGGUAUGUUGCCCACAAGCUUGUAGACCCCACAUCAGUUGGACCUGAAAGUUGAUGAUGUGGACUCCUAUUUACCUCAGCACCAACCCACUGGAAGAAUGUCUACAUUGGCUACAAUGUCUACAGUCCAUGGAGUCACAGAGUCAGACAUGACUGAUCGACUAAGCACCUUAGCACGUUCUAAAAGGGCUUCCCUGGUGGCUCAGCAGUAAAGAAUCUGCCUGCAAUGCCCGAGACCCGGCUUCGAUCCCUGGGUUGAGAAGAUCCCCUAGAGGAGGGCAUGGCAACCGACUCCAAUACUCUGGCCUAGAGAAUCCCAUGGGCAGAGGCACCUGGCCGACUGUAGCCCAUAGGAUCACACAGAGUUGGACACGACUGAAGCAACUAAGCAGCAGCAGAAGGCCAAGGCUUCAGAGAGAAAUACUUAAUAAUUAGUAUGUUAAAUUUCAUGGGAUUUCUAAAAAUCUGGUAUGCCCCAGUAAAAUGUUAUCUCAUUGUUUUCUAGUUGUUUUAAAAUGUUGCAUGUCAUAAUAACUCAGUUUAUUUUGUCAAUCCCAUUGUGGCCAAAUGUUUAUGACUUUUUAAAUUCCUUUUUAAAGUCUUUCUGUGAUUUAUAGAUGGCUAUUGUUGUAUUCAUGUAUAUUCAUGUAUGGACAUGAAUUUGAGCAAACUCCAGGAGAUAGUGGAGGACAGAGGAGCCUGGCAUGUUGAAGGCCAUGGGGUCGAAACAAGCUGGACGUAACUCAGGGACUGAACAACAACAACACUGUUGUAGUCUGUUAAAUCUCAGGUUAUACUGGGGAACUAGGUAAGGAAGAAAGUCCUAAGGGAAAGCCUGAUCGCUUCAUACAAAGUUAAAAACAGGAUUGGUUACUAAAUGGACUGUAAAUUAUGGUGAUAAAUUUAUGGGUUUUAUCUGAAAUGUCACUGAUUUUAACUCAUGUUUUCCAGAUAUAGGGAAGCCCUUCUCCUCAAGUUGGUUAUGAUUUACAACAGUUUGGUAAAUUAUACCUCUGCUUCCUUAUGCUGCUGCUGCUAAGUCUCUUCAGUUGUGUCCGACUCUGUGUGACCCCAUAGAUGGCAGCCCACCAGGCUCCCGCAUCCCUGGAAUUCUCCAGACAAGAACACUGGAGUGGGUUGCCAUUUCCUUCUCCAAUGCAUGAAAGUGAAAAGUGAAAGUGAAGUCGCUCAGUCAUGUCCGACUCUUAGCGACCCCAUGGACUGCAGCCUACCAGGCUCCUCCAUCCAUGGGAUUUUCCAGGCAAGAGUACUGGAGUGGGGUGCCAUUGCCUUCUCCGUCCCUUAUGCUGGGGACAAUUAAAUCAUACUAAGGACUAAUACUGCUAGCUAUGUUAUUUUUUAUUUUACCUGUUUUACAAAAGUAUUGUUUACCGCAUUAUCAGAUAUGUGACUGAGCCUCUGAUAAAAUAACGAUAUAUAGUUC
ensembl:lncRNA